CAGCUUUUGCAGCAGCAGCAACAGCAGCAGCAGCAACAGCAGCAGCAGCAACAGCAGCAGCAGCA
rnacentral:miRNA from 14 species